rnacentral:lncRNA from 1 species
GGCCUGUGGGAGUACCAUUGAUCCCGCCCUCAUCUGAGGUGACGGGAAAGGGCCGGGAAAUUUCCACUUCUGAAUAAAAUGACUGCUGAAGUGAUGACCCGCAAGAAUUGGUCAAAUUUGGAGUAGACUUCACCCUGCGCUUGGUGAAACUUCUACGUCAAGGAUGCAAGAGGCGCCGAAGUAACGCAGCUCCCACCUGUCGCUCUCCGCUGGGCGCCGAGACUAUGGCCGGAGAAUAGCUGCACCGGGAUUGGAGAAAGGAAGCCAUCAGUCUUAGGAAGGCUCCACCUUCCUGCCAUUGCCUGGUUGGAGGAGCGUAGCGUCAGUCACUAGAGCAGUCACCACCUCUGGGACAGAGGUGAUUUUAAUGGGCUCACCUGAAUGCUGCUGAGCGCUGCCACCCCCAUAUACAGGAAGAUGCCAUAGAGCACAGGCAUUGGAAUGAACUGGUAGAAAGAAGCAGAGAGUUAUCAAAGUUUACCUCUGCCAACCUCCCAGAUGCCCCAGGAUGCCCAGAUGCCCUAGAUCCCUCUAGCAUCUAGCAUCCAGGUCUGCCCAGGCCUUGCCUUUCCU